CCCUUAAAGGCCGAGCGUGCCGCCCGCGGCUUCAAAGAGGUAGCGUUCUAAAAUGCUUAAUAACUUUGUAACCGCUAAUCCUAUCCAUCUGAUUUAAAAAGUGAGGUAAAGCGGCUAUUCUAGGCUUUUUGCUGGUAUCACUAUGUCCUUUUCCGGGAUUCAGAGGCUCCGACGUGAUCGGGGCAACGUUAUCACAUUUUACAGCCUUGAUUCGUCAAGGAGACCCACGCGGCCCCUCUGUCUGAGCCAAACAGCAAAGGUUUUAGACUAAGUCCCACCCCCCUGUGUCCGGAUAGGUUUAAAAGGGUAAAGGUCCAGGCAAACCUCUGCCCAUGCUACCAUCUUCUCGACCAAUCAACAUAGGUUGCUGUGUAUGUUUUUGGCGGCGGGAGAUAAACAAAGAGAAACAGAGAGACGAGAGAGUAAUACUAAAGAAGAGUAAUUCUGCCAGCGUAAGAGAAAUAAAUACAACACGAGAUAUCUAGAUACAGUCACACACACACACAAAUACACAUACAUACACACACACACAUAUCCCAAGACAAAUUCAAACCAACAUGUCAAAACGGCGUUACACUACGGAAGAAGCCGUAGAAUUUAUGUUGUCUGGCGGACCGCUUAGCGAUGCAGCGGUGGAUUCCUCAGAUUCUGAAGCUGACAACUGGCAAGGAAGAGGAGUAUGAUCACGGGAUUGAUCCCUUCGAAGAUAAAAAAUACAGAGGAUGAGAGAGGGGAUGCACAAGCCCCUGUCCCCAUCAGUAGGCCUCCUUCAAACCGAGAGGGAAAAGAAUGCGGCCAGGAGGGUGCAGCAUCCAGAAAAAAGGCCAAACCAAUGCCAGCCCCCCUGACAGUGAAAGGGAGAGGGAGAGGAAAAGGGAAAAAAACAUCUCUGACCCCAGAAGAGCCAGGUUUGGAACGGACCUGAGGUGCCAGAUACUGCCCAACAACUACCACACUUUUGCCCGAAAAGAGCCCCUGGAGUCCAAGGUUUUGUUGGUGUGGAGUAUACUCCUGCACAAAUAUUUAGAAAUUGUUUUAACAACCAAGCUGUAAAUAUCAUCUGCAAGAACACAAACAAAAAUGCUGAAAAGGAGCAGGCUAAGGGGGAAAAGUUUGUUU